GUGAAUGAAUCACGGUCUUGCAAUUUAGAUGUUCCAUCGGAACAAGAUUGGUCAAUUGCACAACUAGUUAAUCGCUUUUUAUUGAUUUUUGCAUCCUCAACCAAGAUAUUUUCUGGUGUAUAUUACCCUACAUCAUGUCGUGUUAUUAGUUGCUUGAUAGAUAUCCAUUUUGCAUUUGAGGCAUAUUCUGAUUUUAAUGUAUUUAAGGAUGCAUUGGCUGCAAUGAAGGACAAAUUUGAUAAGUAUUGGGGUACAUUUCCCAAAGCUUUUUGCUUUGCUACAAUUAUGGAUCCUAGAUUUAAGUUAUUUGCUAUUGGAGAAUGGUUAAAAUGCAUGGGUAUUGAUCAGCUUGAUGUUGAUAGAAAAUUGUUAGAGUUAAGAACUGAAUUGCAAGCUCUUUAUGAAACAUAUAAGAAGAAUAUUGUGUCAGAUGUAGCACCUAGGCAAUCUGAAAAUUUAACUUCUUCUACCUCGAGUGCUCCGGGUUCUAUAGCAUUGCCUAUUGUUGGUAAUUCCUCAAUGCAAAGUUUGAAAAGGGCAAAGGUAUCAUCUUCAUAUACUUCUUCUGCGACUUCUAAUGAUUUACAAAUGUACUAUGAUUUACCAACUAUUGAAGUUGAUGAUGAUAAUCAAUUUAGUGUCUUGGCUUGGUGGAAAUCAAAUGAACCAUUAUACCCUAUAGUUUCUCGCAUGGCUAGAGAUUUGCUAACAAUUCCAGCUUCUACUGUAGCUUCGGAGUCAUGUUUUAGUGCAGGAGGUAGAGUUGUAUAUGAGAAAAGGGCUUGCUUGAGUCCAAAUACAAUAGAGGCGUUGAUUUGCUUGAAAGAUUGGGGUUUAGCAAAAUCAAGGAUGCAAGAGGCUCAGCGAGCGUGAAAUGCAGCUAGCUGAAGAAAGGAGACUCAUUAGGGAAGCACGACCAGAUGGGAAAUAGUGAAGAUGAAGGUGGAAAUGAAUCUGAUAAUGAUUCUGGAAAUGAGUCUGGUGAACAGGUACCAAGAUCAGUUGAAUCCCAUGAGUUAUCAACAAAUCUGCAGCCUCAAUUUUCAAGGGCUGCAGGCAUAUGAUAAAAGGGAAGAGUAAAGAAGCUUUCAUUGCAAUUAGAGAAGCAUUGAAGUCCAAGUUCGCUGCAUAUAAG